rnacentral:tRNA from 1 species
GCCCCGGUAGCUCAGAUGGACAGAGCAGCAGUUUCCUAAAUUGUUGGUCGGAGGUUCGAAUCCUCUCCGGGGUA